GAUGAACGCUAGCGGCAGGCUUAACACAUGCAAGUCGAGGGGUAGAGGAAGCUUGCUUCCUUGAGACCGGCGCACGGGUGUGUAACGCGUAUGCAACCUACCUUUUACAGAGGGAUAGCCCAGAGAAAUUUGGAUUAAUACCUCAUAGUAUAUAGUCUUCGCAUGUUGACUAUAUUAAAGUUCCAACGGUAAAAGGUGGGCAUGCGUCCUAUUAGCUAGAUGGUAAGGUAACGGCUUACCAUGGCAACGAUAGGUAGGGGUCCUGAGAGGGAGAUCCCCCACACUGGUACUGAGACACGGACCAGACUCCUACGGGAGGCAGCAGUGAGGAAUAUUGGACAAUGGGCGCAAGCCUGAUCCAGCCAUGCCGCGUGCAGGAAGAAGCAUCUAUGGUGUGUAAACUGCUUUUGUACAGGAAGAAACACCCCGACGUGUCGGGACUUGACGGUACUGUAAGAAUAAGGAUCGGCUAACUCCGUGCCAGCCGCCGCAGUAAUAC
rnacentral:rRNA from 1 species